AUUGAACGCUGGCGGCAGGCUUAACACAUGCAAGUCGAGCGGGGUGAUGGUGCUUGCACUAUCACUUAGCGGCGGACGGGUGAGUAAUGCUUAGGAAUCUGCCUAUUAGUGGGGGACAACAUCUCGAAAGGGAUGCUAAUACCGCAUACGUCCUACGGGAGAAAGCAGGGGAUCACUUGUGACCUUGCGCUAAUAGAUGAGCCUAAGUCGGAUUAGCUAGUUGGUGGGGUAAAGGCCUACCAAGGCGACGAUCUGUAGCGGGUCUGAGAGGAUGAUACGCCACACUGGGACUGAGAAACGGCCCAGACUCCUACGGGAGGCAGCAGUGGGGAAUAUUGGACAAUGGGGGGAACCCUGAUCCAGCCAUGCCGAGUGUGUGAAGAAGGCCUUAUGGUUGUAAAGCACUUGAAGCGAGGAGGAGGCUCUUUUGGUUAAUACCCAGAAUGAGUGGACGUUACUCGCAGAAUAAGCACCGGCUAACUCUGUGCCAGCCGCCGCGGUAA
rnacentral:rRNA from 1 species